CAUAGGCCCCUCCAGGCCCAGGCCAGCUGCUCAGGUUUUAUAAGAGGGGCCUUUGCUACGUGAGCUGAGCUGCAUUGGGCAGGCAGGGACAGCAAGAUGGUGUCACCGAGGCAGGUCCUCAUAUCCUUGUUGCUGUGGGUCUCAGGUGCCUGUGGGGAGAUCACAAUGACUCAGUCUCCAGGCUCCCUGGCUGUGUCUCUAGGUCAACGGGUCACCAUCAACUGCAGGGCCAGUCAGAGUGUUAGCAGCUACGUAGCCUGGUACCAGCAAAAACCUGGGCAGGUGCCCAGGCUCCUCAUCUAUCGUGCAUCCAACAGGGCCACUGGCAUCCCAGACCGGUUCAGCGGCAGUGGGUCUGGGACAGACUUCACCCUCACCAUCAGCAGCCUCCAGGCCGAAGAUGUGGCGGAUUAUUACUGCCAGCAGCAUUAUAGUGGUCUCCCACAGUGCUUCAGCCUCGAACACAAACCUCCUCCCCAGGGCCACGGGUCAGGGAGGCUUUGCUACACCACCUGCUUCCUCCCCACUCAGCCCUGAACAUGCGCAUUCCCA